CCAGCACACAAAUUAUGGGAAGUAAAUCGCUCGUAUGUGUGGGACAUACUACUUCCUCGCAGAGAAAUUAAUUUUUGACCUUCUGUUAAAUGCUAAAUACAUUCUUGUGUUUGGGAGAGGGUUGGGAUUUCUUUAACUUUAUCCAGAUGAAGAGUAUUAAGCAAGGGGCAUAGGCAGAGGAUAUUUCUCUCUAAGACUUUCCAGGCGGGUGUCUCAAGCUCGUCCUCUGCAGUGGGCUCAGCAAAGUGGGCUCAAUCUGUUUCUUUUCCAACUCUUGUGAUUGCACUUUCGUUGCUGCUCUGGAACCUCUAAGCACCAACAGGACGGAAGAGGAUAGUGCCAAAAGACAUCGCAGACCUGGGAGCAUGCCGAUGGGCAGUGCCCAGUCCAGCAUUAGGACCAGGCAGGAGGUCUGCCAUGAAGCAAGUGGGAACAAGACUUCACCCUCCACCCAAGAGCUGCGUGGACUGAGCUUUGCUCUCAGCUGGGCACAUCCAGAGCUCUCCUCCGCAUUUCAACCCACCUUACCCUCACAGCACCCUGUUUUGGCCUCCUGACUGUGCUUCAGCGAGGGGGGCUGCCGAGUUUGGACCAGACCCCUGAGCAAUGCCAUGUCCUGUCUCAGAUGCUGGCAAGGAACAAAUGCGUUGGGAAAACUGCAAGAAAAAUCCAGAAUAAGCAAACGUGGAUCAAUAGCAGGAAUCUCUUUCUAACUUCCAGCAAAUAUUGACUUAAACCCCCAGAGCAGACGUGGACAAAUAUUGCCUCAUCAGACCUUUUGGGGGAAUUAAAAAUGUCUUUUCAGUGGAAAAAGAAAAUCUAUGCUUUUUUUGUUUGCUUCUAUUUGAAUGUUCUGCUUUUUUUUGGUUUUGUUUUUGUCUGAAAAGUAAGCUCGAGUAUUUUAAUUUUUGGUCUCUGUGUUCAGAAAUCCUCCCAUUACCCUCAAAGAAAAAACACCAUGAUACAUUAAAAAGAAAACAACAUUCCCUGUAAAAAAGCAAUUGAAGCUUUACAUCAGAUUUGUACUGGAGAAUGAAGAUUUACCUCCCUUCAGAA